UAAGCUGUAGUUUAACAAAAACAUUUAACUUACAAUUAAAAAUUACCAGUGUCAGCUUAA
rnacentral:tRNA from 1 species